AUUCUGCACGGCUGGCCUGCUCCGGGCGCUGCUGAUGCUGCUGGUUCCUGGACCACCCUUGAGACCCUGGAUGACCUCUGAGGUGCUGCCUCCUUGCAAAAACCCUCAGCUCUUGGGACCUCUCCCUGCGCUUCCGAAGCCCUUUCAGAUAUUUUCCUGUAGCCCUCACAAAGAGCUUGGGGUUGCGGUUUCUGCCGCUGUUGACUCUCACGUGGGGUUGUCAUGUCAGGGAAACAUGGAAAGGAAGGGAGGUGAAAAGAGACAAUAGGAAAACCGUAGGCUGUGACGGGAAAAAAUGAAACAGAUGAGUGAGAAGAAAAGUCCAAGAGCCAGGAUGACGGCGCAGUGAUGGCUCACUUUGCGUUGCUGUUCCGUCCACUGUUCCACUGACUGUGAACUCUGUCAGAGUAGGGAGAUUUUUUUGAAACUCAUAAACUUUCAAGAACAUGAGAGGAGAACAGCAGCACAGUCUGGGAGUCUGAGCAACAGAUGGACGAGUGGUAACUGCUUUAGCAGAUUUGGGAAGGCUGAAUCCCCAGCUGGUGGUUGAGAAAAUGGAAAAUCAACUCCAUGUACGCAGCUGAAUCCUCAAAACACGCAGGAGUGGGUGGCACCAGGAUGGUUGCAGAUACUGGGCUGCGGAAGAGGGCAGGUGGCAAUGGAGCCAAUCGGUGGGGACAGGACUGCUCAUGGAGCAUUGAGAAGGAAGCCUCUGGGAAGAGGAUUCAGAACCAGACAAGGAAAGGACCUGAGGUUGUCUGAGCUCCACAUCCUCCAAGACCGAGUUGAAAUGUUACCUUCCUGAAGAGCCUUCCUGAUUCCUAAGGGGAUUGCUCACCUCUCGUUUAUGCCUCCAUUGGGCAUUGAUUACGGAUGGCGGAGCAACCAGGAGGCUUCUAAGGGCUUCAUCCUGUAGGCGAGAUCGAUGAGGCGCCCACUGUUCUCAUCGGCAGCACUGCAAUGGUAUUUCCCAGACCACACUGGUAGCAGGUGAGUAUUAGGACCUGGAUGAAGGCUCUGCAGUGAAGUCAGUGGGAGAAUCUCUGCCUCCAACACUCAGCUUUUGGAAAUUCACAUUUACAGUGCACAUUUGAAUCCCAGAGUCUCUGAAAAGGCCUGCUGUAAAUAAAUAGUUUGAUUUAACUUUGUUCACUCCAGUGUGUCCCAAACUUACAUAACCACACUUUUUUGGAGUUAUAUUUUAUUUUCUUUAAAAAGUUAUUCUUAUGACAUAUUUCGAGCACUCAGGAAAGGCUAGAGGACAGCAUGGUAAGUAUUCUGGGGUUGAUCACCUGCUGUGUUCAGUCUUAACAUCUGGUCAUAUUAUAACAGAUUAAAAAAAAUCAACCCCCUUUUUUUUUU
rnacentral:lncRNA from 1 species